AGUCACAGGGCUCACCAGUCCCUUUGGCGGAGUCUCUGCCUCAAUUCUUGACUUGUAAUAAUGUAAUGAUGGCUAUCAGGGUUGGAACAGCAAGCACGAUACCAGCACUUUAGGAAGAUUAGUUUCCUCUAUUUAAUGCUCAUGACUACCUGCAAGGGAACUCCAGUACCAUUGUGGGAGGAAGAUUCACACAGACGGAAGUUAAUGAAUAAUGUGAAGAAAUGUCACACAUGUCCAGUGAGAAGAAAUGAUGUGUGCUACAGGACUUCAACUGAGGAAGGGAUGCCUGCGUGGUCAGAGGAGGCUCAUGGAAAAGGU
ensembl:lncRNA novel transcript